CGUGUAGGCGGUCAGGUAAGUGGAAUGUGAAAUGCCCCGGCUCACCCGGGGACCGGCAUCCCAAACUGCCUGGCUUGAGUAUGGGAGAGGAUGGAGGAAUUCCUGGUGUAGCGGUGAAACUGCGUAGAUAUCAGGAGGAACACCGGUGGCGAAGGCGUCCAUCUGGCCCAAUACUGACGCUGAGGCGCGAAAGCUAGGGGAGCAAACGG
rnacentral:rRNA from 1 species